CUACGGGUGGCUCCAGUGGGGAAUAUUGGACAAUGGGGGCAACCCUGAUCCAGCCAUGCCGCGUGUGUGAAGAAGGCCUUAGGGUUGUAAAGCACUUUCAGAUGUGAGGAAAGGUGUGUGCUUAAUACGUACAUACUGUGACGUUAGCAUCAGAAGAAGGACCGGCUAACUCCGUGCCAGCAGCCGCGGUAAUACGGAGGGUCCGAGCGUUAAUCGGAAUUACUGGGCGUAAAGCGCGCGUAGGUGGUUUCGUCAGUCAGAUGUGAAAGCCCCGGGCUCAACCUGGGAAUUGCACCUGAUACUGCGGAACUAGAGUACGAUAGAGGGGAGUGGAAUUUCCGGUGUAGCGGUGAAAUGCGUAGAGAUCGGAAGGAACACCAGUGGCGAAGGCGACUCCCUGGAUUGAUACUGACACUGAGGUGCGAAAGCGUGGGGAGCAAACAGGAUUAGAUACCCUCGUAGUC
rnacentral:rRNA from 1 species